rnacentral:rRNA from 1 species
GAGGUUAAGCGCUUAAGGUGCGAAGCCGAAGCGAAAGCGAGUCUUAACAGGGCGUUUAGUCAGCAGUCGUAGACGCGAAACCAAGUGAUCUACCCAUGGCCAGGCUGAAGGUUGGGUAAUACCAACUGGAGGGCCGAAUUGUUAGGCGUUGAAAAGCCUUCAAAUGAGUUGUGGGUAGGGGUGAAAGGCCAAUCAAACUUGGAGAUAGCUCGUACUCCCCGAAAUGCAUUUAGGUGCAGCCUGCUUUAGAUGCUGUCACGAGGUAGAGCGACUGAUUGGAUGCGAGGGCUUCGCCGCCUAUCAAGUCCAGACAAACUCCGAAUGCGUGACAGUGUAGAAGUGGAGUGAGGGCGCGGGUGCUAAGGUCCGCGUCCGAGAGGAGAAGAAUCCAGACCAUCGUCUAAGGCCCCCAAAUACCGGUUAAGUUGUUACAAACGAGGUUGGACUGCCCAGACAGCUAGGAUGUUGGCUUGGAAGCAGCCAUUCAUUUAAAGAGUGCGUAACAGCUCACUAGUCGAGCAGGCCAGCGUGGAUAAUACGCGGGCAUAAACCGGUUGCCGAAGCCGUGGAACUCUGAAAGGAGUUGGUAGGGGAGCAUUCCACCGACGCAGAAGGAUAAGGGACGACCUUAUCUGGAGUUUGUGGAAAAGCAAAUGUAGGUAUGAGUAACGAUAAAGGGGGUGAGAACCCCCCUCGCCGAAAGACCAAGGGUUCCUGAUCAACGUCAGUCGGAUCAGGGUAAGCCGGGACCUAAGGAUAAGCGGAAAGCGAUUUCGAUGGAAGAAAGGGUUAAUAAUCCCUUGCUGUGCAGAUGAGCGAUGCGGUGACGGAGAAGUGACAGUCCUGCCGUCUGACGGAAUAGACGGUUAAACGGCAAAGAUGUAGAGAGAUAUAGGAAAAUCCGUAUUUUGAGUUGAAGCCGGACAGUAUGUGGAGUGCUUGCACGAAGCAAAAACGGACGUAAUCAGGCUCCCGAGAAAACCCGCUAAGCAAAUUGUCUGUGCACCCGUACCGCAAACGGACACACGUGGUUGGGUUGAGAAUACCAAGGCGCUCGAGUGAUUCACGGUUAAGGAACUAGGCAAAAUGGUCCUGUAACUUAGGGAGAAAGGACGCCGGCGCGAGCCGGUCGCAGAGAAUAGGCCCAGGCGACUGUUUAACAAAAACACAUGGCUGUGCAAAAAGGAAACUUGAAGUAUACAGCCUGACACCUGCCCGGUGCCGGAAGGUUAAGGGGAGACGUUAUCGCAAGAGAAGCGUUGAACUGAAGCCCCGGUAAACGGCGGCCGUAACAAUAACGGUCCUAAGGUAGCGAAAUUCCUUGUCGGGUAAGUUCCGACCUGCACGAAUGGUGUAACGAUCUGGGCACUGUCUCAACCGUGAGCUCGGUGAAAUUGUAGUAUCGGUGAAGAUGCCGAUUACCCGCGAUGGGACGAAAAGACCCCGUGAACCUUUACUAUAGCUUUACACUGCAUCUGGGCAAUGGAUGUGUAGGAUAGGCCGGAGGCUGGGAAGUAGUGGCGCCAGCUGCUAUGGAGCCGUCGUUGAAAUACGGCCCUUCCCUUGUUCGGGUUCUAACCGUCGGAAAGACGGGACAAUGUAUGGUGGGUAGUUUGACUGGGGUGGUCGCCUCCAAAAGAGUAACGGAGGCUUCCAAAGGUACCCUCAGGCCGAUUGGUAACCGGUCGUAGAGUGUAAUGGCACAAGGGUGCUUGACUGGGGAGACCUACAAGUCGACCAGGUAGGAAACUAGGGCAUAGUGAUCCGGUGGUUCCGUAUGGAAGGGCCAUCGCUCAAAGGAUAAAAGGUACUCCGGGGAUAACAGGCUGAUCGCUCCCAAGAGCUCAUAUCGACGGAGCGGUUUGGCACCUCGAUGUCGGCU